UGUACGUAGGAAAGUAUUUUGUUUGGUACA
rnacentral:piRNA from 1 species